GAUGAAAGCUGACAGAAUGCAUAACACAUGCAAGUCAACUUGAAUUUGGGUUUUUAACUUAAAUUUGGGUGGCGGACGGGUGAGUAACGCGUAAAGAACUUGCCUCACAGCUAGGGACAACAUUUGGAAACGAAUGCUAAUACCUAAUAUUAUGAUAAUAGGGCAUCCUAUAAUUAUGAAAGCUAUAGCGCUGUGAGAGAGCUUUGCGUCCCAUUAGCUAGUCGGAGAGGUAACGGCUCACCAAGGCGAUGAUGGGUAGCCGGCCUGAGAGGGUGAUCGGCCACAAGGGGACUGAGACACGGCCCUUACUCCUACGGGAGGCAGCAGUGGGGAAUAUUGGACAAUGGACCAAGAGUCUGAUCCAGCAAUUCUGUGUGCACGAUGAAGUUUUUCGGAAUGUAAAGUGCUUUCAGUUGGGAAGAAAGAAAUGACGGUACCAACAGAAGAAGUGACGGCUAAAUACGUGCCAGCAGCCGCGGUAAUACGUAUGUCACGAGCGUUAUCCGGAUUUAUUGGGCGUAAAGCGCGUCUAGGUGGUUAUGUAAGUCUGAUGUGAAAAUGCAGGGCUCAACUCUGUAUUGCGUUGGAAACUGUAUAACUAGAGUACUGGAGAGGUAAGCGGAACUACAAGUGUAGAGGUGAAAUUCGUAGAUAUUUGUAGGAAUGCCGAUGGGGAAGCCAGCUUACUGGACAGAUACUGACGCUGAAGCGCGAAAGCGUGGGUAGCAAACAGG
rnacentral:rRNA from 1 species